AUACGUAGGGAGCGAGCGUUGUCCGGAAUUACUGGGUGUAAAGGGAGCGUAGGCGGGAGUGCAAGUCAGAUGUGAAAUACAUGGGCUCAACCCAUGGGCUGCAUUUGAAACUGCAUUUCUUGAGUGAAGUAGAGGUAAGCGGAAUUCCUGGUGUAGCGGUGAAAUGCGUAGAUAUCAGGAGGAACACCGGUGGCGAAGGCGGCUUACUGGGCUUUUACUGACGCUGAGGCUCGAAAGCGUGGGGAGCAAACAGGAUUAGAUACCCUGGUAGUCCACGCUGCAAACGAUGAUUACUAGGUGUGGGGGGACUGACCCCUUCCGUGCCGCAGUUAACACAAUAAGUAAUCCACCUGGGGAGUACGGCCGCAAGGUUGAAACUCAAAUGAAUCGGCGGGG
rnacentral:rRNA from 1 species